rnacentral:rRNA from 1 species
GAUAACCGUGGUAAUUCUAGAGCUAAUACAUGCUGGUAGGCCCGACUUUUGCGGAAGGGCGGUAUUUAUUAGAUAACAAGCCAAUAUUCCUCUGGUCUAUUGUGGUGACUCAUAAUAACUGAUCGAAUCGCAAGGCCUUUGGCCGCGAUAAGUCAUUCAAGUUUCUGCCCCAUCAGCUUUCGAUGGUAGUGUAUUGGACUACCAUGGCGUUUACGGGUAACGGAGGAUUAGGGUUCGAUUCCGGAGAGGGAGCCUGAGAAACGGCUACCACAUCUAAGGAAGGCAGCAGGCGCGUAAAUUACCCAAUCCUGACUCAGGGAGGUAGUGACAAGAAAUAACGGACCGAGGCCUUCGGGCUUCGGGAUUGGAAUGAGCCGAAUUUACACCCCUUAGCGAAGAUCGAUUGGAGGGCAAGUCUGGUGCCAGCAGCCGCGGUAAUUCCAGCUCCAAUAGCGUAUAUUAAAGUUGUUGCAGUUAAAAAGCUCGUAGUUGGAUUUCUGGGAGGGUGCCGAUGUCCACUUAACGUGUGCGCAGCGGCGCCCUCUCAUCCUUCUGUUAGCGUCUCUUGGCAUUCAUUUGCUGGUGGCGGGCUCAGAUAUUUUACCUUGAGAAAAUUAGAGUGUUUCAGGCAGGCUAGGCCGGAAUACAUUAGCAUGGAAUAAUGGAAUAGGACUGCGGUCUCUUUGUUGGUUUGAGGGACUGCAGUAAUGAUUAAUAGGGAUAGUUGGGGGCAUUAGUACUUAACUGUCAGAGGUGGAAUUCUCAGAUUUGUUAAAGACUGACUUAUGCGAAAGCAUUUGCCAAGAAUGUUUCAUUAAUCAAGAACGAAAGUUAGGGGAUCAAGACGAUCAGAUACCGUCCUAGUCUUANCAUAACUAUGCC